rnacentral:rRNA from 1 species
GCGGCAGGCCUAACACAUGCAAGUCCCCCUGUAACAGGAAACAGCUUGCUGUUUCGCUGACGAGUGGCGGACGGGUGAGUAAUGUCUGGGAAACUGCCUGAUGGAUUUGGAUAACUACUGGAAACGGUAGCUAAUACCGCAUAACGUCGCAAGACCAAAGAGGGGGACCUUCGGGCCUCUUGCCAUCGGAUGUGCCCAGAUGGGAUUAGCUAGUAGGUGGGGUAACGGCUCACCUAGGCGACGAUCCCUAGCUGGUCUGAGAGGAUGACCAGCCACACUGGAACUGAGACACGGUCCAGACUCCUACGGGAGGCAGCAGUGGGGAAUAUUGCACAAUGGGCGCAAGCCUGAUGCAGCCAUGCCGCGUGUAUGAAGAAGGCCUUCGGGUUGUAAAGUACUUUUUUUUUGGACCAAGGGAGUAAAGUUAAUACCUUUACCCAUUGACGUUACCCGCAGAAGAAGCACCGGCUAACUCCGUGCCAGCAGCCGCGGUAAUACGGAGGGUGCAAGCGUUUAAUCGGAAUUACUGGGCGUAAAGCCCACCCAGGCGGGUUUGUUAAGUCAGAUGUGAAAUCCCCGGGCUCCAACCUGGGAAAUGCAUCUGAUACUGGCAAGCUUGAGUCCUCGUAGAGGGGGGUAGAAUUCCAGGUGUAGCGGUGAAAUGCGUAGAGAUCUGGAGGAAUACCGGUGGCGAAGGCGGCCCCCUGGACGAAGACUGACGCUCAGGUGCGAAAGCGUGGGGAGCAAACAGGAUUAGAUACCCUGGUAGUCCACGCCGUAAACGAUGUCGACUUGGAGGUUGUGCCCUUGAGGCGUGGCUUCCGGAGCUAACGCGUUAAGUCGACCGCCUGGGGAGUACGGCCGCAAGGUUAAAACUCAAAUGAAUUGACGGGGGCCCGCACAAGCGGUGGAGCAUGUGGUUUAAUUCGAUGCAACGCGAAGAACCUUACCUGGUCUUGACAUCCACGGAAGUUUUCAGAGAUGAGAAUGUGCCUUCGGGAACCGUGAGACAGGUGCUGCAUGGCUGUCGUCAGCUCGUGUUGUGAAAUGUUGGGUUAAGUCCCGCAACGAGCGCAACCCUUAUCCUUUGUUGCCAGCGGUCCGGCCGGGAACUCAAAGGAGACUGCCAGUGAUAAACUGGAGGAAGGUGGGGAUGACGUCAAGUCAUCAUGGCCCUUACGACCAGGGCUACACACGUGCUACAAUGGCGCAUACAAAGAGAAGCGACCUCGCGAGAGCAAGCGGACCUCAUAAAGUGCGUCGUAGUCCGGAUUGGAGUCUGCAACUCGACUCCAUGAAGUCGGAAUCGCUAGUAAUCGUGGAUCAGAAUGCCACGGUGAAUACGUUCCCGGGCCUUGUACACACCGCCCGUCACACCAUGGGAGUGGGUUGCAAAAGAAGUAGGUAGCUUAACCUUCGGGAGGGCGCUUACCACUUUGUGAUUCAUAA